rnacentral:rRNA from 1 species
GGUCAAGUGAAGAAGCGCAUACGGUGGAUGCCUUGGCAGUCAGAGGCGAUGAAAGACGUGGUAGCCUGCGAAAAGCUUCGGGGAGUCGGCAAACAGACUUUGAUCCGGAGAUCUCUGAAUGGGGGAACCCACCUAGGAUAACCUAGGUAUCUUGUACUGAAUCCAUAGGUGCAAGAGGCGAACCAGGGGAACUGAAACAUCUAAGUACCCUGAGGAAAAGAAAUCAACCGAGAUUCCCUUAGUAGUGGCGAGCGAACGGGGAUUAGCCCUUAAGCUUCAUUGAUUUUAGCGGAACGCUCUGGAAAGUGCGGCCAUAGUGGGUGAUAGCCCCGUACGCGAAAGGAUCUUUGAAGUGAAAUCGAGUAGGACGGAGCACGAGAAACUUUGUCUGAACAUGGGGGGACCAUCCUCCAAGGCUAAAUACUACUGACUGACCGAUAGUGAACCAGUACCGUGAGGGAAAGGCGAAAAGAACCCCGGAGAGGGGAGUGAAAUAGAACCUGAAACCGUAUGCGUACAAGCAGUGGGAGCCUACUUGUUAGGUGACUGCGUACCUUUUGUAUAAUGGGUCAGCGACUUAUAUUCAGUGGCAAGCUUAACCGUAUAGGGUAGGCGUAGCGAAAGCGAGUCUUAAUAGGGCGUUUAGUCGCUGGGUAUAGACCCGAAACCGGGCGAUCUAUCCAUGAGCAGGUUGAAGGUUAGGUAACACUGACUGGAGGACCGAACCCACUCCCGUUGAAAAGGUAGGGGAUGACUUGUGGAUCGGAGUGAAAGGCUAAUCAAGCUCGGAGAUAGCUGGUUCUCCUCGAAAGCUAUUUAGGUAGCGCCUCAUGUAUCACUCUGGGGGGUAGAGCACUGUUUCGGCUAGGGGGUCAUCCCGACUUACCAAACCGAUGCAAACUCCGAAUACCCAGAAGUGCCGAGCAUGGGAGACACACGGCGGGUGCUAACGUCCGUCGUGAAAAGGGAAACAACCCAGACCGCCAGCUAAGGUCCCAAAGUUGUGGUUAAGUGGUAAACGAUGUGGGAAGGCUUAGACAGCUAGGAGGUUGGCUUAGAAGCAGCCAUCCUUUAAAGAAAGCGUAAUAGCUCACUAGUCGAGUCGGCCUGCGCGGAAGAUGUAACGGGGCUCAAACCACACACCGAAGCUGCGGGUGUCACGCAAGUGACGCGGUAGAGGAGCGUUCUGUAAGCCUGUGAAGGUGAGUUGAGAAGCUUGCUGGAGGUAUCAGAAGUGCGAAUGCUGACAUGAGUAACGACAAUGGGUGUGAAAAACACCCACGCCGAAAGACCAAGGGUUCCUGCGCAACGUUAAUCGACGCAGGGUUAGUCGGUUCCUAAGGCGAGGCUGAAAAGCGUAGUCGAUGGGAAACAGGUUAAUAUUCCUGUACUUCUGGUUACUGCGAUGGAGGGACGGAGAAGGCUAGGCCAGCUUGGCGUUGGUUGUCCAAGUUUAAGGUGGUAGGCUGAAAUCUUAGGUAAAUCCGGGGUUUCAAGGCCGAGAGCUGAUGACGAGUCGUCUUUUAGAUGACGAAGUGGUUGAUGCCAUGCUUCCAAGAAAAGCUUCUAAGCUUCAGGUAACCAGGAACCGUACCCCAAACCGACACAGGUGGUCGGGUAGAGAAUACCAAGGCGCUUGAGAGAACUCGGGUGAAGGAACUAGGCAAAAUGGCACCGUAACUUCGGGAGAAGGUGCGCCGGCUAGGGUGAAGGAUUUACUCCGUAAGCUCUGGCUGGUCGAAGAUACCAGGCCGCUGCGACUGUUUAUUAAAAACACAGCACUCUGCAAACACGAAAGUGGACGUAUAGGGUGUGACGCCUGCCCGGUGCCGGAAGGUUAAUUGAUGGGGUUAGCGCAAGCGAAGCUCUUGAUCGAAGCCCCGGUAAACGGCGGCCGUAACUAUAACGGUCCUAAGGUAGCGAAAUUCCUUGUCGGGUAAGUUCCGACCUGCACGAAUGGCGUAACGAUGGCGGCGCUGUCUCCACCCGAGACUCAGUGAAAUUGAAAUCGCUGUGAAGAUGCAGUGUAUCCGCGGCUAGACGGAAAGACCCCGUGAACCUUUACUGUAGCUUUGCACUGGACUUUGAGCCUGCUUGUGUAGGAUAGGUGGGAGGCUUUGAAGCGUGGACGCCAGUUCGCGUGGAGCCAUCCUUGAAAUACCACCCUGGCAUGCUUGAGGUUCUAACUCUGGUCCGUGAUCCGGAUCGAGGACAGUGUAUGGUGGGCAGUUUGACUGGGGCGGUCUCCUCCUAAAGAGUAACGGAGGAGUACGAAGGUGCGCUC